UCAUCUCUCCCCUCUCUCUUUUAAUUUCUAAAAUAUUUUCCUCAAUUCAUGUUGUAAUUGCAAAAAUACCAUAAAAUUGGUGGGAAAAAAAAAAAACUGGUGUUUUAUAUUAUAUAGAUUUGAUUUGAAGUAACAAUUGGGUAGCUUUUUAAUAAUUCUAGAGCCUUUAAUUCGCGUUUGACCUUCACAAAGUCACACUGUAUAUCCUCAACUAUUUAACUAAAAUUUCAACUUGCAUUCAAUAAUUCAAAAUUGAUUUCGAUUGAAACCUUGUUUUUUCUAUUUUUUCGUACAGAUUUGAGAGAGAUUGUCCUUGAGCAAUGUGUUAGAGCAUUCUUGUACCAUUAAUGAAGAUUGAAUUAUUGUGUUUGGUUAUGUUAGAAAUUGGGUGAGUGAUUAUGAUAUAAUGGGGGAAGUUUACUGAUUGAGGAGGUUUGCAGAGGAUCUCAAACAUGAUUGAGGGGGUGUUGAACGAUCGUCUGGGGAAGAAAGUUCAAGUAUUGUUAUUGACUCGUUCUCGUGUUGUAAUAUUCAAUUAAACUUAAAGUAUAUUCAUUAAGUUUCAUGACUUAUUCAAAAUAAUAAUAAGCAUAUAUAACAACAAUACAUGUUUGGUAUACUAAUUUAUAUAUAUGUAUGCAAUGUGGUUUUGUGUGAUAUAUUACGAUGGAA
rnacentral:lncRNA from 1 species